AGCUUUAUAUUCAAUAAUGAUAUAAAAUUGCAAAUUUUAAGGAAUAUAUUAAAUAUAUUAAGGCUU
rnacentral:tRNA from 1 species